rnacentral:rRNA from 1 species
GACGAACCGAGCGAACGUUAUUCGGAAUCACUGGGCUUAAAGGGCGCGUAGGCGGGCCGUCAAGUCAGGGGUGAAAGCCCCCAGCUCAACUGGGGAAGUGCCUCUGAUACUGACGGUCUCGAGGGAGAUAGGGGCGUGCGGAACUUCCGGUGGAGCGGUGAGAUGCGUAGAUAUCGGAAGGAACACCGGUGGCGAAAGCGGCGCGCUGGAUCUCUUCUGACGCUGAGGCGCGAAAGCCAGGGGAGCGAACGGG